rnacentral:rRNA from 1 species
GACGAACGCUGGCGGCGUGCCUAAUACAUGCAAGUCGAACGCAGUGGGGACGGGUGAGUGACACGUGGGUAACCUCCCAUCAGAGGGGAUAACACUUGGAAAACGGUACUAAACCGAUACUGAUGGAUGGACGCGCGGGGAAUUAGCUAGUUGGUGGGGGAACGGCUCACCAAGGCCACGAUGCAUAGCCGAUCUGAGAGGAUGAUCGGCCACACUGGGACUGAGACACGGCCCAGACUCCUACGGGAGGCAGCAGUAGGGAAUCUUGGGCAAUGGGCGAAAGUCUGACCGAGCAACGCCGCGUGAGUGAAGAAGGUUUUCGGAUCGUAAAGCUCUUUUGUUAGAGAAGCGUUAUCUAACCAGAAAGCCACGGCUAACUACGUGCCAGCAGCCGCGGUAAUUC